GGCACAUAGUAGGUACGGUAGAACAAUGGUGCCCCGUAGAUGCCCACCUCCUAUUCCCAAACCUGUGAAUAUGAUGCUUUACAUGGCAAAAGGGACUUUGUGAUUAAGGAUCUUCAGAUGGGAAAAUCAACCUAGGUUAUCCCAGAAGCAGCAAGAGGUUGGAGUAAGGGGCCGUGAGCCAAGAGUUGAAGGCACAUCUGGAAGCUGACAAAAGGAAGAAAGGGGAUUCUCCCCUUGAAGCCUCCAGAAGAAAUGCAGCCCAGCCCAUACCUUGAUUUUAGAUUUUGACCUCCAGAAAGGUAGGUGGACGCAGAUUAUGAACAAGAACAGGAACAAGAAAUGUGAACUUUAACAUGUUUGAGGGAUAAGUCCUUAGAUGCUACUGAUUUUAGUGACCAGCUGGAUGAUCCAACAAAAACUGAUGAGUAUAUUCUGUCAAAGUAAAUUGUGGUGGGUUGUUAAAGUAAUGGAACCAAUGAAUUACACCUCCCAAUGUUUAACUCCACACAUAGGCCCCCUCUCCUAUUUAACUCCUGGUUGGGCCAUAUGAUUUGCUUUGGCCAAUGGGAUGUGUAAGCAAACAUAACACAAGUGAAAGCUUAAAAAGAACUUGUAGUAUAUAUCACAUCUCUUGAGAUUGUCAUGUGAAGAAGCCCAAGCUACCUCUUGGAGGAUAAGAACACAGGGAGCAGAGACAAGCCAUCUCAAUGGAGGCUCCAUAGCCCAAGCAGCCCCAGCUUAUGCACCAGGAGAUCACAGCGUUGUUAGUGACCCAGGCAAGAAGAACAGAACUAACUGCCCAAUGACCCCAGCCCAAUUGCUGACCUACAAAAUCAUAAGCAAAUAAAAUGGUUUUUAUUUGGUGGUAGUUCGUUAUACAACAGCAGAUAAUUGACAUACUCUAUUUCCUUAAAUUUCAGGUCAAAACUUAAGUAAAUUGAAAUUAUCCUUUUUUGUGUGUGAUCUACCCUCGUCAAUUCUUUAUCUUGAUACCAGCUAAUUUAGUUUACAAUACUUUCCUUUGUAAUUCUCUUUCUCUUUGAAGAUUAAUACAAAGACACUUCUGCCUGAAAGUUUCCCAAUAUGAAUAAUUUUACUUACUAAAAAGGAGCCUCACUCAGCAUAAUUUAUAUAUCUGUGUUCUAAAAUUUUGUUCAGAUUCACCUUCCUCUUCGAAAUGCUGUAUAUGUUUCCUUUAAGCUUUAACAAUCCACUAUUUUUUUAAUAAAUUUAUUUUAGUUAUUUUAUUUAUUUUUUUGGCUGCAUUGCAUCUUGGUUGCUGCUCGCGGGCUUUCUCUAGUUGCUGUGAGCGGGGGCCACUCCUUGUUGCGGUGCGUGGGCUUCUCAUUGCGGUGGCGUCUCUUGUUGCAGAGCACGGGCUCCAGGCGCGCAGGCUCAGUGGUUGUGGCUCGCGGGCCCUAGAGCGCAGGCUCGGUAGUUGUGGUGCACGGGCUUAGUUGCUCUGUGGCAUGUGGGAUCUUCCUGGACCAGGGCUCGAACCCGUGUCCCCUGCAUUGGCAGGCAGAUUCUUAACCACUGCCCCACCAGGGAAGCCCUACUAUUUGUUUUUAAAGUAUUUUAUAAUUUUUUCACUUUUAUUUUUUGAAGUUUGACCAUACUUAUAUCUGUAUUUUCUGUAAAUCACACUCUGCUUGAAAGUUACAGA